rnacentral:rRNA from 1 species
GACGAACGCUGGCGGCGUGCCUAAUACAUGCAAGUCGAACGCACGGGGGACGGGUGCGUAACACGUGGGUAACCUCCCAUCAGAGGGGAUAACACUUGGAAACUGGUGCUAAACCGCUACUGGUGGAUGUACUCGCGGUGCAUUCGCUAGUUGGUGGGGUAACGGCUCACCAAGGCAACGAUGCAUAGCCGGCCUGAGAGGGUGAUCGGCCACACUGGGACUGAGACACGGCCCAGACUCCUACGGGAGGCAGCAGUAGGGAAUAUUCGGCAAUGGACGAAAGUCUGACCGAGCAACGCCGCGUGAGUGAAGAAGGCUGUCGGAUUGUAAAGCUCUGUUGUUAGAGAAGCGGUAUCUAAACAGAAAGCAACGGCUAACUCCGUGCCAGCAGCCGCGGUAAUUC